rnacentral:rRNA from 1 species
CUGGCUCAGGAUGAACGCUAGCGACAGGCCUAACACACGCAAGUCGAGGGCGAGCACAAGGAGCAAUCUGAGGUGGCGACCGGCGCACGGGUGAGUAACACGUAUGCAACCUGCCUGUAAGCGGGGAAUAACCCGUUGAAAGACGGACUAAUACCGCAUAAUACUAAAUUACUGCAUGGUAAUUUAUUUAAACAUUUAUGGCUUACAGAUGGGCAUGCGCAUGAUUAGCUAGUUGGAGAGGUAACGGCUCCCCAAGGCAACGAUCAUUAGGGGUUCUGAGAGGAAGGUCCCCCACACUGGUACUGAGACACGGACCAGACUCCUACGGGAGGCAGCAGUGAGGAAUAUUGGUCAAUGGACGAGAGUCUGAACCAGCCAAGUCGCGUGCAGGAAGAAUUGUCCUAUGGAUUGUAAACUGCUUUUGCAGGGGAAUAAAGUGCAUCACGUGUGAUUGUUUUGUAUGUACUCUGCGAAUAAGGAUCGGCUAACUCCGUGCCAGCCGCCGC